UCUUCCCUGCUAGGCCCGGCGACGCCGGCCCCCAUGGUGGCCUCAGCCUUGCACGAAGCUUUGGAAAAUGCCGGACGGCUCAUCGACCGUCAGUUACAAGAAGACCGCAUGUAUCCGGACCUGUCCGAGCUGCUUUUGGUGUCUGCUCCAAAUAAUCCCACUGUUUCUGGAAUGUCAGAUAUGGAUUAUCCUUUACAAGGACCUGGUUUGCUGUCAGUACCUAACCUUCCAGAGAUCAAUUCCAUCCGAAGAGUUCCUCUCCCACCUGAACUUGUUGAACAAUUUGGGCAUAUGCAGUGUAACUGCAUGAUGGGUGUGUUCCCUCCAAUCAGCAGAGCUUGGCUCACAAUUGACAGUGACAUAUUCAUGUGGAACUAUGAAUAUGGAGGAGAUCUUGCCUAUUUUGAUGGACUUAAUGAGACUAUUCUUGCAGUGGGGCUUGUGAAACCAAUAGCUGGUAUCUUUCAACCUCAUGUAUGUCACCUCCUGGUUUUAGCAACUCCUGUGGAUAUAGUGAUGCUUGGACUCAGCUAUGCUAAUUUACAAACAGGUCCUGGAGCUCUUAAUGACAGUAUGUCUGGUGGAAUGCAGUUACUUCCAGAUCCUUUAUAUUCUCUUCCCACUGAUAAUACUUACCUUUUAACAAUAACUUCCACCGACAAUGGCAGAAUUUUCUUGGCUGGAAAGGAUGGCUGUUUAUAUGAAGUAGCAUAUCAAGCAGAAGCAGAUUGGUUUAGCCAAAGGUGCAGGAAAAUAAACCACUCGAAGAGUGCACUUUCUUUCCUUGUUCCUUCCUUGCUGUAAUUCACAUUUUCAGAAGAUGAUCCUAUUGUUCAAAUUGCAAUUGAUAAUUCUAGAAAUAUUUUAUAUACACGAUCUGAGAAAGGGAUAAUACAGGUUUAUGAUUUGGGCCAAGACGGACAAGGAAUGAGCAGAGUUGCUUCUGUUUCACAGAAUUCUAUUGUUUCUGCUGCUGGAAACAUUGCUAGGACCAUAGAUCGUUCUGUUUUUAAGCCAAUUGUUCAAAUAGCAGUGAUAGAGAAUUCUGAAUCAUUAGACUGUCAGUUAUUGGCUGUCACACAUGCAGGUAUAAGGUUGUAUUUCAGCAGUUGUCCAUUUAGACAGCCAUUAGCACGGCCUAACACCCUGACACUGGUUCACGUUCGUUUACCUCCUGGAUUUUCAGUGUCUUCAACUGUGGAAAAGCCUUCAAAAGUACAUAAAGCUCUUUAUAGUAAAGGCAUUCUACUGAUGGCAGCAUCAGAAAAUGAAGAUAAUGAUAUUUUGUGGUGUAUCAACCAUGAUAUAUUUCCCUUCCAAAAACCAAUGAUGGAAACCCAAAUGACAACGUGAGUUGAUGGUCAUUCCUGGGCUCUGUCUGCCAAAGAUGAAUUGAAAGUAGAUAAGAUAAUUACACCAUUAAAUAAGGAUCAUAUUCCAAUAACUGACUCACCAGUUGUUGUCCAGCAGCACAUGUUGCCUCCGAAGAAGUUUGUUCUCCUUUCUGCACAGGGGAGUCUUAUGUUUCAUAAACUUAGACCUGUAGAUCAACUGAGGCAUCUCCUUGUGAGUAAUGUGGGUGGUGAUGGAGAAGAGAUUGGAAGAUUCUUUAAACUAUAUCAGGAAGACCAGGCUUGUGCGACUUGCCUUAUCCUUGCUUGUUCCACUGCUGCCUGUGAUAGAGAAGUAUCUGCUUGGGCCACUUGAGCUUUCUUCAGGUACGGUGGUGAAGUACAGAUGAGAUUCCCAGCCACUCUUACUCCUCCAAGUAAUGUUGGUCCCAUCUUGGGGUCUCCUGUCUAUUCUAGUUCCCCUGUACCUAGUGGUAGUACAUAUCCAAAUCCAAUGUUUCUCAGGUUUGCAGCCUCCUGCCAUGUCAACGCCAGUGUAUGCUGCAGGAAACCUAGCAACUCAGGCCACAAGUAUUAUGGCUGGACCAGAGAUUGUGUACUCUGGAAAACACAAUGGUAUUUGCAUUUACUUUUCUCGAAUUAUGGGAAAUAUUUGGGAUGCUAGUUUAGUUGUGGAGAGAGUGUUCAAGAGUGGCAACAGAGAGAUAGAUCACUGCUAUUGAAAGUAGUGUUCCCUCCCAGUUGCUGGAGUCAGUGCUACAAGAACUCAAAGGUUUGCAAGAAUUUCUAGACAGAAACUCCCAAUUUGCAGGAGGACCAUUAGGAAAUCCAAAUACUACUGCUAAAGUGCAGCAGAGGCUGAUAGGAUUCAUGCGUCCUGAAAAUGGAAAUACCCAGCAAAUGCAGCAGGAGCUGCAAAGGAAGUUUCAUGAGGCCCAACUGAGUGAAAAGGUUUCACUUUAGGGAAUCCAGCAAUUGGUUCAAAAAUCAUACCAGGCUCUGGCUUUAUGGAAACUCCUUUGUGAACAUCAGUUCACUGUCAUUGUAGGAGAACUUCAGAAGGAAUUCCAAGAGCAGUUGAAGAUCACCACCUUCAAAGAUCUGGUAAUCAGGGACAAAGAACUGACAGGGGCAUUAAUUGCUUCUCUUAUCAACUGCUACAUCAGAGAUAAUGCUGCUGUGGAUGGUAUUAGUUUACACUUACAGGACAUCUGCCCACUGCUGUAUAGCACUGAUGAUGCAGUGUGUUCUAAGGCAAAUGAACUGCUUCAGCGUUCCCGACAAGUUCAAAAUAAGAUCGAAAAAGAAAGAAUGUUAAGGGAAUCCUUAAAGGAGUAUCAGAAAAUUAGCAAUCAAGUCGACCUUCCCAGUGUUUGUGCUCAGUACAGACAAGUGCGUUUUUAUGAGGGUGCGGUGGAGCUCUCUCUCACUGCUGCAGAGAAAAAAGAUCCUCAGGGUCUUGGACUUCAUUUCUAUAAACAUGGAGAGCCAGAAGAGGACAUAGUAGGACUUCAGGCUUUCCAAGAAAGAUUAAACAGUUAUAAGUGCAUUACAGACACACUUCAAGAACUGGUAAAUCAAGGCAAGGCUGCUCCUCAGUCCCCCAGUGUACCCAGAAAACCUGGUCCUCCAGUGUUGUCCUCUGAUCCCAACAUGUUGAGUAAUGAAGAAGCAGGACAUUAUUUUGAACAAAUGCUUAAAUUGGCUCAACGAUCCAAAGAUGAGCUUUUUAGUGUUGCCCUCUAUAAUUGGCUAAUACAAGCUGACCUUGCAGAUAAACUACUACAGAUUGCUUCUCCAUUCCUGGAGCCACAUCUGGUCCGAAUGGCAAAGAUUGAUCAAAACAAAGUCCGUUACAUGGAUUUACUCUGGAGAUACUAUGAGAAGAACAGAAGUUUUAGUAGUGCUACUCGUGUCCUGUCCAAACUGGCUGACAUGCAUAGCACAGAAAUUUCACUUCAGCAGCACCUAGAGUACAUUGCUCGAGCCAUUCUUAGUGCCAAAAGUUCCACUGCUAUUUCGUCAAUAGCUGCAGAUGGUGAAUUCCUUUAUGAAUUAGAAGAAAAAAUGGAAGUUGCCAGGAUCCAGCUUCAGAUACAAGAGACAUUGCAAAGGCAGUAUUCCCACCAUUCUUCUGUUCAGGAUGCAAUUUCUCAGCUGGAUUCUGAGCUAAUGGAUAUAACUAAGCUCUAUGGGGAAUUUGCUAACCCAUUUAAACUUGCAGAAUGUAAACUUGCAAUAAUUCAUUGUGCUGGUUAUUCAGACCCUAUAUUGGUGCAGAAACUUUGGCAAGAUAUCAUAGAGAGAGAAUUGAAUGAUAGUGUAGCAAUGAGCUCCCCAGAUAGAAUGCAUGCUCUUAGUCUCAAGAUUGUGCUCCUUGGCAAAAUAUAUGCUGGCACACCUUGUUUCUUCCCUUUAGAUUUUAUUGUACAAUUCUUAGAGCAGCAAGUUUGGACUUUGAACUGGGAUGCAGGCUUUGUAAUACAGAGAAUGAAUGAAAUUGGAGUGCCAUUACCUAGACUACUAGAAGUGUACGAUCAGUUAUUCAAAUCACGGGAUCCAUUCUGGAGCAGAAUGAAGAAGCCACUUCACCUUUUGGAUUGUAUACAUGUACUGUUGACAAGAUAUGUUGAGAAUCCUAGCCAAGUUCUAAAUUGUGAGAGAAGAUUUACAAACCUCUGCCUGGAUGCUGUGUGUGGUUAUCUGGUUCAGCUCCAGUCCAUGAGUUCCUCGGUAGCAGUGCAAGCCAUUACGGGGAAUUUUAAAUCUCCUGAGGCUAAAUUAGAAUGGCUUCACUGAGUAUUGUAAUAUAUUUUCAUCCAUGCAUUUUUAUCUGUAAAAUAAAACUUAAGCUGG